rnacentral:rRNA from 1 species
UACGGAGGGUGCGAGCGUUGUCCGGAAUCACUGGGCGUAAAGGGCGCGUAGGCGGCGCGGGUAGUCAUCGGUGAAAGUUCAGGGCUCAACUCUGAAUCGGCCGGUGAUACUCCCGUGCUCGAGCACUGUAGAGGCAGGUGGCAUUCCGGGUGUAGCGGUGGAAUGCGUAGAGAUCCGGAAGAACACCGGUGGCGAAGGCGGCCUGCUGGGCAGUAGCUGACGCUGAUGCGCGACAGCGUGGGGAGCAAACAGG